UUUCCGUAGGUGAACCUGCGAAAGGAUCAUUAUCGUACAAAAUGUGAGGGGCAUGCGAGGGCUGUCGCUGACCCAAAAGUUGUGCACGCCCGAGUGUGUCCUCUUGCAUAAUAAUCCAUCUCACCCUUUGUGCAUCACCGCGUGGGCACCCUUCGGGAUCAUCUCGGAGGGGGGCUCGCGUUUUCACACAAACCCCCCUUUUAAAAGUGUAGAAUGACCACAUUUAUGCAAUCAAUACAACUUUCAACAACGGAUCUCUUGGCUCUC
rnacentral:misc_RNA from 1 species